GUGCUUGAGUUGGCAGCACAUAUACUAAAAUUGGAAUGAUACAGAGAAGAUUAGCAUGGCCCCAAGGGAUCCAGCGUGGUGUAGUGAUUAAGAGCAGUGGUUU